rnacentral:lncRNA from 1 species
AUGGGUGAAGAGCUCGCAUCUGUCCUCUCUUUCAGAGUGAAUGAGGCAGAAAAUGUGGCCGGGGCUCAAAUCGUCGUUGUAUUAAGCAGGCUUGCUGAUGUCUCAAUCAGAAAACAAUUACAUCAGUUUGGACAGACCAAUGCUGCUACUCUUCCAAAUUAUUGCUCUUGGGAACUUGGAAUGAACAUUGAUGCAGUCUGGAAAUUAAAGGCCAAAUUCUGCUUGUGCUCCACAUUUACACGGGUGUAGCUUCAUUGAAUUCAUUUCAGAUGUAUAUUGUGGCUACUUAGAGUAAAUUUAGGGCCAAACUUUGCUCUGAGUUGAGAUGUCAUCAAUUAAAAAAAAAAAGUAAGUACAUUUUGUGGCUCACUGGCCAACUACCAAGAUAUUAACUAGCAUCAUACAUGGUCCAUCUGUACAGUCAGAAUUCUCAAGUAACUAGAUUUGCAUGGUUUAAAGCCAGAAGGGACAAUUAGAUCAUCUAGUCUGGCCUCCUGUGUGUCUCGAGCCAUUACAUUUCAUUGUUACCCUGUGUUGAGCCCAAUAACUUGUGUUGGACUAAAGCAUAUCUUCCAGAUAGGCCUUUAGUCUUGAUUUGAAGACAGUAAGAGAUGGAGAAUUCAGCACUUCCCUUGGUAGUUUGUUCCAGGGGUUAAUCACCUUCACGGUUAUAAAAUUGUGCCUUAUUUCUAAUUUGAAUUUGUGUGGCUUCAGCUUUCAGCCACUGGUUCUUGUUGUGCUUUUCUCUGCUAGAUUAAAGAGCCCUUUGGUACCCUGUAUUUUCUCCCCAUUUUCUGCAUAUUCAUUGUAAUCAAGUCACCUCUCAAUCUUCUUUUUGAGAGUCUAAAUAGAUUGAUCUCUUUAAGUCUCUCGGUUGUAAGACAUUUUCUCCAACCCUUAAACCAUUUGUUUGGCUUUUUUUCUGCACUCUCUCCAACUUUUCACCAGUGCCAUAUGCAGAGGUAAAAUCUCCUCUGUAAUCCUCCUCAUUGGUCCUCUGUAUAUACAUCCCAGGAUUGCUUUAGCCCAGUUUGCCACAGCAUUGCACUGGGAGCUGAUCUUGAGUUGCUUGCCCGCUAUGACCUCUAAAUCCUUUACAGAGUUCCUGCUUUCCAAGAUACAGUCCCCCAUUCUGUAGAUGUGGCCUGCAUUUCUUGCUCCUACAUGUACAGCUUUGCGUUUGGCUAUAUUAAAGCUAGAACUGCAUGAAAAUAUUUAGAAAAAUAGUAAAUUUGCCCAAAAAAUGCAUUUUCAGGGCAUCAAAACUAUUCGCAGAUUCAGAUCAGAUUUGGAAAUAAAAAAAAGGAAAAAACAUUUAGAAAAAGUUGA